CACGUAGGGUGCGAGCGUUGUCCGGAAUCAUUGGGCGUAAAGCGCACGUAGGCGGUUCGUUAUGUCGGAUGUGAAAGCCCUUGGCUUAACCGAGGAAGUGCAUCCGAAACUGGCGAGCUAGAGUACGAAAGAGGAUCGCGGAAUUCCCGGUGUAGAGGUGAAAUUCGUAGAUAUCGGGAGGAACACCGGUGGCGAAGGCGGCGAUCUGGGUCGAUACUGACGCUGAGGUGCGAAAGCGUGGGGAGCAAACAGG
rnacentral:rRNA from 1 species